CCAGACUCCUACGGGAGGCAGCAGUGGGGAAUAUUGCACAAUGGGGGAAACCCUGAUGCAGCGACGCCGCGUGAGUGAAGAAGUAUUUCGGUAUGUAAAGCUCUAUCAGCAGGGAAGAAAAAAGACGGUACCUGACCAAGAAGCCCCGGCUAACUACGUGCCAGCAGCCGCGGUAAUACGUAGGGGGCAAGCGUUAUCCGGAAUUACUGGGUGUAAAGGGAGCGUAGACGGUGAUGCAAGUCUGGAGUGAAAGGCGGGGGCCCAACCCCCGGACUGCUCUGGAAACUGUGUAACUUGAGUGCAGGAGAGGUAAGCGGAAUUCCUAGUGUAGCGGUGAAAUGCGUAGAUAUUAGGAGGAACACCAGUGGCGAAGGCGGCUUUCUGGACUGUAACUGACACUGAGGUACGAAAGCGUGGGGAGCAAACAGGAUUAGAUACCCUUCUAU
rnacentral:rRNA from 1 species